rnacentral:rRNA from 1 species
GUCCACGCGGUAAACGAUGUCAACUAGCCGUUGGAAGGGUAAUCCUUUAGUGGCGCAGCUAACGCACUAAGUUGACCGCCUGGGGAGUACGGUCGCAAGAUUAAACUCAAAUGAAUUGACGGGGCCCGCACAAGCGGUGGAGCAUGUGGUUUAAUUCGACGCAACGCGAAGAACCUUACCUACUCUUGACAUCCAGAGAACUUGGCAGAGAUGCCUUGGUGCCUUCGGGAGCUCUGAGACAGGUGCUGCAUGGCUGUCGU